AUUGAUAAAUAAACAAAUCCUGUUGCUGCUCACCAAGAGGACUGCUUAACAGAUUUACCCAUGUGAGAAGUGGCUCACUUACAAGUUAAUGCCCACGCACCCAAAGGGCCAGGUCCUGCAUUUUUUCACUUCACCGAUGCCAAAGCCACUUUGCCCACCUUUGCAGCAGACGCAGGGAAUUAACUAUCUCAAGAAGUGGCCCUUAAUUAUUAACUGAUGGCAGCUGGUCCCAGGGUAUCCAAGAAGCUGUCAUCCAGGUCUUCUCCAAUGAAGCUACAACAACCCACAGAGCCAGCAGGGGAACCUACACCUUCGAUAUCAUAUAUGAGCAAACAGUCAUUAGAUGGGCGUCCUUCAUCUUCAUCUGCAUGGACUUAUUUAUAAUUGUGUACUUUGGACAUAAAACCAUACACAAAAAAAUCACAUGAAU
rnacentral:antisense_RNA from 1 species